AUUGAACGCUGGCGGCACGCCUAACACAUGCAAGUCGAGCGGUAACAGGAUUAGUAGCAAUACUAGUUGCUGACGAGCGGCGGACGGGUGAGGAAGACGUAGGAACUUGCCUAAUAGAGGGGGAUAACCAAGGGAAACUUUGGCUAAUACCGCAUACAUUCGAGAGAAGAAAGGCGCUGAAAGGCGUCGCGAUUAGAGAGGCCUGCGUCCGAUUAGCUAGUUGGUGAGGUAAGAGCUCACCAAGGCGAUGAUCGGUAACUGGUCUGAGAGGACGGCCAGUCACACUGGGACUGAGACACGGCCCAGACUCCUACGGGAGGCAGCAGUGGGGAAUAUUGGACAAUGGGGGCAACCCUGAUCCAGCGAUGCCGCGUGGGUGAAGAAGGCCUUCGGGUUGUAAAGCCCUUUAGGCCGGGACGAAAGCAGAUGGGGGAAAUGCCAUUUGGUUGACGGUACCGGCAGAAUAAGCACCGGCAAACUCUGUGCCAGCCGCCGCCGUAA
rnacentral:rRNA from 1 species